AACGCGAAGAACCUUACCAGCUCUUGACAUGUCUCGUAUGGGGACCGGAGACGGUUUCCUUCAGUUCGGCUGGCGAGAACACAGGUGCUGCAUGGCUGUCGUCAGCUCGUGUCGUGAGAUGUUGGGUUAAGUCCCGCAACGAGCGCAACCCUCGCCCUUAGUUGCCAUCAUUCAGUUGGGCACUCUAGGGGGACUGCCGGUGAUAAGCCGAGAGGAAGGUGGGGAUGACGUCAAGUCCUCAUGGCCCUUACGGGCUGGGCUACACACGUGCUACAAUGGCGGUGACAAUGGGAGGCUGAGGGGCGACCCCGAGCAAAUCUCAAAAAGCCGUCUCAGUUCGGAUUGCACUCUGCAACUCGAGUGCAUGAAGGUGGAAUCGCUAGUAAUCGUAGAUCAGAACGCUACGGUGAAUACGUUCCCGGGCCUUGUA
rnacentral:rRNA from 1 species